UGCUUUUGCGUUCUGGGCUUGGGUUGGUGGUCGACAUAGUGUUUGCAGCGCUUUUGGAGUGUUACCUUUAUCUCUCCAAUAUGGAUUCACAGUUGUUGAGAAGUGCUUUUAGGUUUGUUGAGUGUAUGUGUUUCAUUUCUUGGAUAUCCUGCAAGAGCCAUUUUACCUUAUUCUCAAGCUCUGGAGAAGCUUGCCCCUCACAUUCAACAGG